CGGUCCGGAUUGAUGUUCGACCGCCCGAAACCAUCGCGCUUGUUGUGUUCUCCUGGCGUAUCCUUUUGCAGCAGGUGUUCCCUCCCUCAUCUGUAUGCGAUGCGCCCUCCUGGCCCCGCCGUCGAUCCUGACGGGCGGGGCUUUUU
rnacentral:sRNA from 1 species